UAGCAAGCAAUUUUCCUUUGCUCUUCCAGAAGUGCUGCAAUGUAAACGACUAGACAGCUUUAUCACUAACCCAAUUCUUCUGUAUAUUUUUAUCACUUUGAAUAUUGCAUUUUAAAGUACAUCAUCUUAGUCUGGUCUGGGGAUGCUAUAAAACCUUUAUCACACACAUAGGCAUGUCACCUAUAGAUACACCAUAAGUGGCUUAAGCAACAUUUAUUUAUUUCUCACAGUUAUGGAGUCUGGGAAGUCCGAGAUGAAGCUGCCUGCAGAUCCAGCGUCUGGUGUGGGUCCCCUUUCUGGUUUGUAGAUGAUAAUGACCACGUGGCAGAGAGCAGAGAGGGAGUAGCUCUCUUUCCCUUGUUAUGUGGACACUAAUCUCAUCAAAGGGGUUCCACCCUCACAAACAAUUUACUUCUAAAAGGUCCCACUUCCCAGUGCUAUCACAUUAGAACUUCAGCAUAUAAAUUUGGAGGAAACACAAGCAUUCAUUCCAUGGUACACCCCUUCUGCUUGUGGAACCAAGGAUGAUGUCAGCUGAAAAGACUUGAAGACUGCAGAUGAAUCAAAGGCAGGAGUGUCUCCAUGGCUGGGGAAAGAAAUCAUCUGAAGUCAUCUUCAUUCACAUGUUUAGCUGUUGAUACUGCCUGUUGUCAGGACUCUCAGCUGGGGCUGUCCCAUGGAAACUUAUGUAUGGCCUCUCCAUGUAGCCUGGGUUGCCUCACAGCAUGACGGCCUUGGACAUCUUACCUGGUGCUCAGGGCUCCAAAGGCAAGUAGUCCAAAAGAACCAGGUGAAAGCUGUAUCACCUUUUGUAACCUAGCUUCAGAAUCAGAUAGCAUCACUUCUACCAUACCCAGCGUCACCCAGCAACAAGAGGAGGAACAUAGAUAUCACUUCUUGACAGGAGGGAUGUAUGUCACUGAGAUUAUGGGCUGGUGCUGUAUGCUUUUGGAUAGUAGAUGGAGGAAAACAAGAAAAAGUGGUCAUGGUGCAAUAGUCAUCUGAUACUUUCAACAUUUACCAUGGCUUCCAUUCGCUCUACAGACUCCAGAUGAACUCGGUUUUCCAAUAUCAACUCUACCAAUCCCUACCCUCCAGUACCAGGACGUUCAGCAUAGCUGAAGGAUGUCACAAAAUUAUGAUGUAGUAUUCUCUAUGUUUUUCUUAAGUUGUAACUUCACUUAAGUUUCAUAGGUACUUAGCAAUUUUUGUAUACUUCUUGCUGCAAGAAUCAUGGUGACUGUUUCAAGGAUCUUACAAUUUGCUUUUGCCAUUUAGUAUAGUCUGCCUUAUGUUUUAUGUGUGUGUGUUUGUAUGUGUAUAAUUUCUGACUACAUCCUAGAGCUUGGUCCUAAGUUUUAAUAAAUUUUUACAGCCUCUAAGUCCAUAUUUAUUUAACAAAUAUUUAUUGAAUAAAUUAUAUGUGUUAGACAUGUUAUAAACAUAAAGAA
rnacentral:lncRNA from 1 species